CAGUAGCCGCGGGAAUACGUAGGUGGCAAGCGUUGUCCGGAAUUAUUGGGCGUAAAGCGCGCGCAGGCGGAUCGGUCAGUCUGUCUUAAAAGUUCGGGGCUUAACCCCGUGAUGGGAUGGAAACUGCCAAUCUAGAGUAUCGGAGAGGAAAGUGGAAUUCCUAGUGUAGCGGUGAAAUGCGUAGAUAUUAGGAAGAACACCAGUGGCGAAGGCGACUUUCUGGACGAAAACUGACGCUGAGGCGCGAAAGCCAGGGGAGCGAACGGGAUUAGAUACCCCAGUAGUCCCUGUCUCUUAUACC
rnacentral:rRNA from 1 species